AAUCCAUGAUGAAGGCAGUCUCUCUCAUACUCUUUAAAUCGCUCCUAAGCUUCAUAAAAUGAUUCUAUUGGGCCUUGUUGGAAGCUUUGUCUUAUUUCUCAGCU
rnacentral:snoRNA from 1 species